CCCUUCUCUUCCUUAGCAGAGAGUCCAAAACAGCCUGCUGUUCCAAGACUUCUCCUAAAAAGUGCCAAACGCAGACAACAACGAGGAAGAAUGACACGCGUGAGUAGCAAACGCAAAGGUCCCAUUGAUGGCGUUACAUGGGAGGUAUUCACAGCACCAACGACGCUUCAUCCGUACGUCCCAACUUCUUCUUCCUCUAUCCCAUUAUGUUCUGGACAGUACUUUAGGCUUCAUCUUUUGUGCAUUUCCAGCUGCUUGUUUCGUCCCCCUUAGCGCGAGAUCUUGCCACAUCGACGCCAAGGACGGGAGAUCGAUCUUAAUCGUGCAUUCCCCUUUCCCUUUUCAGAAUAGAGUGAGAAUUUCAGAAAAAGGUUGCUUAUCCGAUUUAGUGAAGUUUUUUUUUUUUUUUGAGAAUUUGAAUUGGAAGAGAACCCCUCACUCAUCAGUUCAUACUCACCUUCUUUCAGAGUUAGAUACGAAAAAAAAAGGGGAAAAUUUUUUCUUUGAAAGAAUCACAAAUAUUAAUAAAAUUUUUCCGAAACAAUGAGCUAAAAAUUUGAGUGAAAUAUUGAGAAAAUCUUGAGAGUCUAGCUAAGUGUUAAAAAGAGGAAGCCAUUUAAAUCCGAAGUUCUUGGAGAUAUUCAUUUAAUCUCAGUUUGGUUCACUCUAUUUCAUUCAUCCAAGUCUUCUCGGAGUCAUUCUUUGGGUGCGGAAGUCGGUACUUUUCAGGCUCGCUAUCGUCCUUGUUCUUCUGCCCCUCUGAAGCCCCAAAGGGCCUAAAACGCAGUGAUAUACCAGCUGGAAUAUAGCACAGAUGGGUGCAAAAAGUGAAAAUGCAGGUGAAACGUGCAGGGACAUCGAAUUCAAAUAAAAGACAGGCUCGGAAUUCCAAAAAACCAAUAUACGUGAUGUAUACGUCAAAUAUACACUUGGUGUAUAUCAUGGAAAUGGGGACAAAAAGGGCCUAAAGCUUAAAGAAUUUUGGGCCCAAGUCCAUUUGUGAUAAUUUUAGAAUUAGGAUAGGUGGUCUAAAUGCCCAAUUUAAUGGAAUUUGGGUAAUUGAUCCAAGUUCAAAUACUCCCCUCAUUUUCCCUCUUUAUUUAUGUAUUAUUAAAUUGACUUAAACUUUGGUUGAAUUUUACUAA